rnacentral:rRNA from 1 species
UACGGAAGGCAGCAGUGGGGAAUAUUGCACAAUGGGCGCAAGCCUGAUGCGGCCAUGCCGCGUGUAUGAAAAAGGCCUUCGGGUUGUAAAGUACUUUCAGUCGUGAGGAAGGUGUUAAGGUUAAUAACCUUAGCAAUUGACGUUAGCGACAGAAGAAGCACCGGCUAACUCCGUGCCAGCAGCCGCGGUAAUACGGAGGGUGCGAGCGUUAAUCGGAAUUACUGGGCGUAAAGGGCACGCAGGCGGUUAAUUAAGUUGGAUGUGAAAUCCCCGGGCUUAACCUGGGAAUGGCAUUCAAGACUGGUUAGCUAGAGUCUUGUAGAGGGGGUAGAAUUCCAUGUGUAGCGGUGAAAUGCGUAGAGAUGUGGAGGAAUACCGGUGGCGAAGGCGGCCCCUGGACAAAGACUGACGCUCAUGUGCGAAAGCGUGGGGAGCAAACAGGGAUUAGGAUACC